AUCAAACUCAAGCUAAGUUAAAAUAAACUUGUAACGAGUAAUAUGAUAAACUAAUAUUUUCGACAUCAUAAUAUCAUCAGUUAUCACUAACAAAUAAUCGCAGCUAAAUCUUUUAUACCCCAUUUGCUUGGAAAUGGGAAUUUUGGCACUAGUUUUACACUAAUUAUACCCAUGGAACACUUUUGCUACAAACCAAAGCUGUGACCUUGUUUCAUUAGACGAUACCCCAUUCUUUCCUGAGCUCAUUCUUUAGACCUGCAAGUUGAUUCUCCGGCACAAUCACAUUAACUGUCCUACCAGCACCUCUCUUGUCGCUGCCGUUACCCUUCCCAGGAAGCACAAGAACAGCUCCUUCAUCACCAACGCCUUUGAUGGUAUAAUAUGCAAAAACAGGUUUAUGUCCUUUCAAUUCCAGCCCAUAAAUAUCUGCUUGUUCCAAAUUCACAAAUGUCAAAUUUGUUCCAUAUACCAUAUACUCUCCCUUGCCACUCUCAACUGUUUCUUCAAUCAGACUAUUUUCCUCUUCUUGUUUCUCUGCAAUCAAUGCUGCCAAUUCUUGUAAAUCGCCUUUCGCCGGGUUGAUAUCUGUUCUAGCAAUGCUAAACACUAUCUUGUUGCUUGGAACUUCAUUCUCAUCCGUUUCACUAGUGCGAGAAAUUCUUGUACAAAAUGUCACAAUUCUUGGUCCUGAAUCUCCCCUGACUUUGGAUAAAGAUUUCCAUAUCAUUGCAGAGAUGACUUCGAAGUGCGAGAUCUUUACCGGCUGGACUAGACUGGAAAUGUUUGAUACUAUGUCGUCUAGCUGUUUUCCAGUGAAAUGGAAAUAGUGAGUUUCCAUUUUACAGUUAUUGGUAGUUAGCCAGUAGUCCCCAACUGGAUCGACCCGUUUUAGGGAAAAUGGUUCCUUGAUGAUAGUUGAAAGUGGGAACUCAGGUUUCUUGGGGCGCGGCAGGGGCAGAGACUUGGAUGGCACAUGACCUUUCAUGGAUUGGCCCCACAUGUUGAUGAAGGUUGAAGCUGAGAAUGGAUCCCCAAGAACAUGAGCCCAGCUGAGUCCCACAGACAUGCCUCCACACUUGAACCAAGUGAACUGUUGAUCAAAUUACAAAAAUAAAAAAUAAUACUAAUUAGAUUUCUUUUAAAGGAAAAAAUAAAAAGAACAGAAACCCUAAAAAUUGGUAUAUGAAACAUAUUCUUGGCAAAAUUAAUUAUGCAGAAAAAUAAGAGCUGACAGAUUAGAGAUGUCUGAUGUGCUUUAGUAUGAAAAUAAAUAAUAUAUCUGUUCAUAGAAGUAAUGGUUGAUGGGCAAAAAAGAUGGCAGCAAAUUGCUUUCCCUUUCAUAAAUCCAGAUUCAACAAUCAUUAUUUGGUAAUUAGUAACCAUGAUUAAAUAUCUAUUAUUGUUUUAAAAUUUUAUAUUUCAUCCUACCAGCUAGGAUGGGACACCUUCAAGAGUGAAUUGCCUAGCUUAUUUUUGCAUGGGAUCACAUAAUUAAAUUAAAUUUCGUUAAUAUUUCUUUAUUCUUCUUAUCUUCUCCCUUCAUAAUUAAACAUAAUCCAACAGGGAAAAAAAGAUAUAUAAAACAGAACAUUAAUUAAUUACCUGAAUAUAGACGAGGGGAGAGAAUCCUAAAUCAGGACCCAGAACUUGAUCAUGAGCAAGAAAGCUAUCCACAGAAAAAUGAUGAUCAUUAUUCCUUGCCAGCAGCAACUCUUCUAUGGUUUUCUCACAGUGUGCUUCAACAAUCCGUACACCCCCAUCGUUACACUUGAUGAAAGGUCUGCCUGUUUCAGAUCUCCGAAUCCUCCCUGAGGCGGUGUAGAAGAGAGCUAGCCAGGGAAACAUUGGCUUCUUCAAG
rnacentral:misc_RNA from 1 species